rnacentral:rRNA from 1 species
UGGGGAAUAUUGCACAAUGGGGGGAACCCUGAUGCAGCCAUGCCGCGUGUGUGAAGAAGGCCUUAGGGUUGUAAAGCACUUUCAGUUGUGAGGAAAGAUUGGUGGUUAAUACCCAUCAGUUGUGACGUUAGCAACAGAAGAAGCACCGGCUAACUCCGUGCCAGCAGCCGCGGUAAUACGGAGGGUGCGAGCGUUAAUCGGAAUUACUGGGCGUAAAGCGCACGCAGGCGGUUACAUAAGCCAGAUGUGAAAGCCCCGGGCUUAACCUGGGACGGUCAUUUGGAACUGUGUAACUGGAGUCUUGGAGAGGGGAGUGGAAUUCCAGGUGUAGCGGUGAAAUGCGUAGAUAUCUGGAGGAACAUCAGUGGCGAAGGCGACUCCCUGGCCAAAGACUGACGCUCAUGUGCGAAAGUGUGGGUAGCGAACAGGAUUAGAUACCCCGGUAGUCC